AACGAACGCUGGCGGCAUGCCUAACACAUGCAAGUCGAACGAGACCUUCGGGUCUAGUGGCGCACGGGUGCGUAACGCGUGGGAACCUGCCCUUAGGUUCGGAAUAACUCCCCGAAAGGGGUGCUAAUACCGGAUAAUGUCUUCGGACCAAAGAUUUAUCGCCUUUGGAUGGGCCCGCGUUGGAUUAGCUAGUUGGUAGGGUAAAAGCCUACCAAGGCGACGAUCCAUAGCUGGUCUGAGAGGAUGAUCAGCCACACUGGGACUGAGACACGGCCCAGACUCCUACGGGAGGCAGCAGUGGGGAAUAUUGGACAAUGGGCGAAAGCCUGAUCCAGCAAUGCCGCGUGAGUGAUGAAGGCCUUAGGGUUGUAAAGCUCUUUUACCCGGGAUGAUAAUGACAGUACCGGGAGAAUAAGCUCCGGCCAACUCCG
rnacentral:rRNA from 1 species